CCUACGGGAGGCAGCAGUGAGGAAUAUUGGUCAAUGGACGAGAGUCUGAACCAGCCAAGUAGCGUGAAGGAUGACUGCCCUAUGGGUUGUAAACUUCUUGUAUAAAGGAAUAAAACGAGGCACGUGUGCCUUUUUGCAUGUACUUUAUGAAUAAGGAUCGGCUAACUCCGUGCCAGCAGCCGCGGUAAUACGGAGGAUCCGAGCGUUAUCCGGAUUUAUUGGGUUUAAAGGGAGCGUAGAUGGGUUGUUAAGUCAGUUGUGAAAGUUUGCGGCUCAACCGUAAAAUUGCAAUUGAUACUGGCAGUCUUGAGUACAGUUGAGGUAGGCGGAAUUCGUGGUGUAGCCGUGAAAUGCUUAGAUAUCACGAAGAACCCCGAUUGCGAAGGCAGCUUACUAAACUGCAACUGACACUGAUGCUCGAAAGUGUGGGUAUCAAACAGGAUUAGAUACCCUAGUAGUC
rnacentral:rRNA from 1 species